rnacentral:rRNA from 1 species
GGCUCCUACGGGGGGCAGCAGUGAGGAAUAUUGGUCAAUGGACGCAAGUCUGAACCAGCCAUGCCGCGUGCAGGAAGACGGCUCUAUGAGUUGUAAACUGCUUUUGUACGAGGGUAAACGCAGAUACGUGUAUCUGUCUGAAAGUAUCGUACGAAUAAGGAUCGGCUAACUCCGUGCCAGCAGCCGCGGUAAUACGGAGGAUGCGAGCGUUAUCCGGAUUUAUUGGGUUUAAAGGGUGCGUAGGCGGAUCGUUAAGUCAGUGGUCAAAUUGAGGGGCUCAACCCCUUCCCGCCAUUGAAACUGGG